CGGGUGAGUAACACGUAUCCAACCUGCCGUCUACUCUUGGACAGCCUUCUGAAAGGAAGAUUAAUACAAGAUGGCAUCAUGAGUUCACAUGUUCACAUGAUUAAAGGUAUUCCGGUAGACGAUGGGGAUGCGUUCCAUUAGAUAGUAGGCGGAGUAACGGCCCACCUAGUCUUCGAUGGAUAGGGGUUCUGAGAGGAAGGUCCCCCACAUUGGAACUGAGACACGGUCCAA
rnacentral:rRNA from 1 species